AAAGGAGGGCUGCUGCAGCCCGAGUUGGUAUCCAGGGGCACAGGAAAUGGCUGGCUCAGCUGAGCGCGGUUGCAUCCGGUGCUGGCAGAGGCGAGAGUUUAGGGCUCCCAGAUGCUGCCACAAUCCCAGUGACAGCAGCUGUGCGCGGCUCCUGACUGGUCAGUGAUCGCAGCUGCUAGGGCCUCCAUUGUGAGCCCGGGCUGAGCCGCUGCUGCUCCCCAGCGGGGUCUGUGCGGGGAGAGACCUGCAUUAACCCACCUCCGUGCCCAGCCGGGGGGACUUUCUGCGGUGGCUGCAACCAGCCCCUGGGGCAGCCCCGGGCUCUGCCGACACCAGCCCCUGAGCCGGAGGCUGCAGCUUGAGUAAGAGCUCUCCUGAGAGAGGAGGUUGCCAGGACCCUGCGAUAACUGUAGCUGGACAAGCUCAGACAGAGAAAAAGAAAGAUUUUUCCAGUUUCCCAAACGUAAUGUGAUUUCUUGGCCAGAGGCAGAG